rnacentral:rRNA from 1 species
AUUGAACGCUGGCGGCAGGCCUAACACAUGCAAGUCGAGCGGAUGAAGGGAGCUUGCUCCUGGAUUCAGCGGCGGACGGGUGAGUAAUGCCUAGGAAUCUGCCUGGUAGUGGGGGAUAACGUCCGGAAACGGGCGCUAAUACCGCAUACGUCCUGAGGGAGAAAGUGGGGGAUCUUCGGACCUCACGCUAUCAGAUGAGCCUAGGUCGGAUUAGCUAGUUGGUGGGGUAAAGGCCUACCAAGGCGACGAUCCGUAACUGGUCUGAGAGGAUGAUCAGUCACAAUGGAGCUGCGACGCGGUCCAGACGCCUACGGGAGGCAGCAGUGGGGAAUAUUGUACAAUGGGCGGAAGCCGGAUCCAGCCAUGCCGCGUGUGUGAAGAAGGUCUUCGGAUUGUAAAGAACUUUAAGUGGGGAGGAAGGGCAGUAAGUUAAUACCUUGCUGUUUUGACGUUACCAACAGAAUAAGCGCCGGCUAACUUCGUG